CAUUAAAAAGCUAAAUUUGGGCAACAGCGUCAGUCUUUUGAACUGAAGAAUGGUGGCCCCCAACCACCUUUAAUGA
rnacentral:tRNA from 1 species